GCAGCUCUUUGUGUGGCUGAACUGUGAACCAGAUCAGGAUGCUGAUCCAUCUGAAAAAUAAACCAGGACUGGAUUUGAUCUUCUGUGAUGCUGAGCCCAAAUGCCUUGACUCCCCUCCCUUAUUAACUUCUAGAAGAAAAGAGAUAAGUACUGGAUGUUCAACAAAGGUCAGCUACUUUUAAAUCAGAAUUUGCUAAAUUGUUCAGUACUGCCAUACCUCUGCAACAG